rnacentral:rRNA from 1 species
GAUGAACGCUAGCGGCAGGCCUAACACAUGCAAGUCGAGGGGGAAGUUACUUUCGGGUGACUGAGACCGGCGUACGGGUGCGUAACGCGUAUACAAUCUGCCUUUCACUGGGGGAUAGCCCGAAGAAAUUUGGAUUAAUACCCCAUAGUAUAUAGGGACGGCAUCGUUUUUAUAUUAAAGUUUAGGUGGUGAAAGAUGAGUAUGCGUUCUAUUAGCUAGUUGGAGAGGUAACGGCUCCCCAAGGCGAUGAUAGAUAGGGGUUCUGAGAGGGAUGUCCCCCACACUGGUACUGAGAUACGGACCAGACUCCUACGGGAGGCAGCAGUGAGGAAUAUUGGACAAUGGUCGGAAGACUGAUCCAGCCAUGCCGCGUGCAGGAUGAAGGUCUUAUGGAUUGUAAACUGCUUUUGUAAUGGAAGAAUAAGGGCUACGCGUAGUUUGAUGACGGUACCUUACGAAUAAGCAUCGGCUAACUCCGUG